GAUGAACGCUGGCGGCGUGCUUAACACAUGCAAGUCGAACGGAAAGGCCCAAGCUUGCUUGGGUACUCGAGUGGCGAACGGGUGAGUAACACGUGGGUGAUCUGCCCUGCACUUCGGGAUAAGCCUGGGAAACUGGGUCUAAUACCGGAUAGGACCACUUCUUGGAUGUUGUGGUGGAGAGUUUUUUCGGUGUGGGGUGAGCUCGCGGCCUAUCAGCUUGUUGGUGGGGUAAUGGCCUACCAAGGCGUCGACGGGUAGCCGGCCUGGGGGGGUGUACGGCCAACUUGGGGAUGAGGUAAGGCCCAGAAUCCUACGGGGGGCAGCAGGGGGGAAUAAUGGACAAUGGGGGGAAGCCUGAUGCAGCGACGCCGGCUGGGGGAUGACGGCCUUCCGGUUGUAAACUCCUUUCGCUAGGGACGAAGCGUUGUGUGACGGUACCUGGAGAAGAAGCACCGGCUAACUACGUG
rnacentral:rRNA from 1 species